CCAGCCCCAGCCCCAGCCUUAGCCCUGCCACCUCGGCAUCACUUCGGAGCGCGGAGACAGCUGACAGCACGUUCACGAUCCACUGGGAUCCUGCGAUCCCCGCCGCUGUUAUGAACAUCCGCAAUGCAAGGCCGGGGGACCUGAUGAACAUGCAGUACUGCAACCUCCUCUGCCUGCCCGAGAACUACCAGAUGAAAUACUACUUCUACUAUGGCGUCACCUGGCCCCAGCUGUCUUACAUUGCUGAAGAUGAGAAAGGGAAGAUUGUGGGGUACAUUCUGGCCAAAAUGGUAGAAGACCCAGAUGGCAUGGCCUAUGGUCAUGUCACUUCACUGGCUGUGAAGCGUUCCCACCGGCGCCUUGGCGUGGCCCAGAAGCUGAUUGAUCAGUCCUCUCGAGCCAUGAUAGAGAACUUCAAUGCCAAAUAUGUCUUCCUGCAUGUCAGGAAGAGUAACCGGGCCGCCCUGAACCUCUAUUCCAACAAUCUCAACUUUCAGAUUAUUGAAGUGGAGCACAAAUACUAUGCAGACGGGGAGGACGCAUAUGCCAUGAAGCGUGAUCUCACCCAGAUGGCAGAGGAGCUGAGGCUGCACCUGAAGCUGAAGGAAAAGGGCAGGCAUGUGGCGCUGGGUGCCACUGACAACAAGGUGGAGAGCAAAGGCAAUUCGCUUCUGGAUUUGGGAGCAGUCUAUCAUGAAGAGAAGGGCCUGGCAGCUGAGGGCAGUGGUGGGGACACCAAGGACCUCAGCAAUGUCAGCGAGAGCACAGAUGUCAAGGACAGGUCGGAGGCCUCUGACUAG